rnacentral:lncRNA from 1 species
CAGUGGCGCCGUCCCCGUGUCACAUUGUCCCCGUGUGACAUUGUCCCCGUGUCCCCGUGUCACAUUCCAGUGUCACAUUGUCCCCGUGUCCCCAGUGUCACAUUGUCCCCGUGUCCCCAGUGUCACAUUGUCCCCGUGUCCCCAGUGUCACAUUGUCCCCGUGUCCCCAGUGUCACAUUGUCCCCGUGUCCCCAGUGUCACAUUGUCCCCGUGUCCCCAGUGUCACAUUGUCCCCGUGUCCCCAGUGUCACAUUGUCCCCGUGUCCCCAGUGUCACAUUGUCCCCGUGUCCCUGCUGUCCCUGUGUCCCCGUGUCCCCAGUGUCACAUUGUCCCCGUGUCCCCAGUGUCACAUUGUCCCCGUGUCCCCAGUGUCACAUUGUCCCCGUGUCCCCAGUGUCACAUUGUCCCCGUGUCCCCAGUGUCACAUUGUCCCCGUGUCCCCAGUGUCACAUUGUCCCCGUGUCCCCAGUGUCACAUUGUCCCCGUGUCCCCAGUGUCACAUUGUCCCCGUGUCCCCAGUGUCACAUUGUCCCCGUGUCCCCAGUGUCACAUUGACAUUGUCCCCGUGUGACAUUGUCCCCGUGUCCCCGUGUCACAUUUUCCCCAUGUCCCCAGUGUCACAUUGUCCCCGUGUUCCAGUGUCACAUUGUCCCCGUGUCCCCCGUGUCACAUUGUCCCCGUGUCCCCGUCUGACAUUGUCCCCGUGUCCCCGCAGCGUCCUGCAGGAGCAGCUGGCGCGGGAGCAGGGCGGGGGGGGGGGGGGGGGGGGGGGGGGGGGGGGGGGGGGGGGGGGGGGGGGGGGGGGGGGGGGGGGGGGGGGGGGGGGGGGGGGGGGGGGGGGGGGGGGGGGGGGGGGGGGGGGGGGGGGGGGGGGGGGGGGGGGGGGGGGGGGGGGGGGGGGGGGGGGGGGGGGGGGGGGGAGGAGGGGCAGGAGCGGCUGCGGCGGGAGCGGGAGCGCGCGCGGGGCCUGGCGCGGGAGGGACAGCGGCGCCUGCAGCGCCUCCGGUGGGGCACCCGUGACACCUCCGUGA